rnacentral:rRNA from 1 species
UCAAAUGAAUUGACGGGGACCCGCACAAGCAGCGGAGCGUGUGGUUUAAUUCGUUGCUACACGAAGAACCUUACCUGGGUUUGACAUAUAGGUUGUAGGGAACUGAAAAGGGACCGACCCUUCGGGGAGCCUAUACAGGUGUUGCAUGGCUGUCGUCAGCUCGUGUCGUGAGAUGUUCGGUUAAGUCCGCUAACGAGCGCAACCCUCGCUGUGUGUUACAAGUGUCACACGGAACUGCCGGUCAUAAACCGGAGGAAGGUGGGAUGACGUCAAGUCAGCAUGGCCUUUAUAUCCUGGGCUACACACACGCUACAAUGGGAAGGGACAAUAGGUUGCGAAGCCGCGAGGCGGAGCCAAUCCAGCAAAACUUCCCUCAGUUCAGAUUGCAGGCUGCAACUCGCCUGCAUGAAGUUGGAGUUGCUAGUAAACGCAGGUCAGCCAUACUGCGUUGAAUACGUUCCCGGGGCUU